GUAGAAAGGUGAAGAAGACAGGGUGCAUCAGCUAUCUACUGCUACAGAUAAUGCUGCAUAACAAACUUUUCUAAUAGUGCUUUAAAUCAACAACUUAUUUAGUGGAUGAAUCUGCAGGUUGGCUGGAUGUUUGCCUGAAUUUCACUGGCUUAACCAAGUGGCUCCAGAUCAGAUGGCCAGUGGCUGGGGCCCCUUGGCCCUUCUCUAGUGUUUCAUGAACAGGCCAGUCUGGCUCAUGCUCAUGGCAAAAGAGAAGUGGAAGAGGAAGUCCUGGUGCACACGAGGAAACCUUGAGUCCUUGUUGUUAAUAUCCAAUUGGCAACAGCAGCUGUGUGGCUGAGCCCAGAGUUAAGGGAUAUGUUAAAAUUUUUUACCUACAAUGGGAGGACUGAAGAACUGAACUCCUCAGCUGUUAAAUGACAGCAAGGAAAUGAACCCAGGCCUGUUGACACCAAGCAUGUUUGCCUCUCCGGCUGUAUCAAAGAGGAAGUAGAUUCAUGCAACCAUAAAGAGUUUAUUUCAUUUAAAAUUUAUAUCCAUUGCCCAAGUAACACUACACUAACAUUAAUUGCACACUUUAAAAAGGAAAAAGGAACUGAAAUCUUGGCUUUCCUAAUAAGUCCAUCUUUUCUGAUUGGCUUUCGCCCAUGCCCACAUAUGCAUUUAUAUCUUAUUUAGGGUCACGAUGCACAUAGAAUUUUGUGCUCUUCCAUUACUUAGCCCUUCCUGUGACCUUAGUUGUUUUCAUAUUUUCACAAUAUAAAGCAUGUUGUAAUGAACAGCUUAAAGUUCACACCUUCCCAGGAGUGAAAUCACAGAGUCAAAAGGAACCUUUUUUUUAUUGCACUUGCAGUUCAUUGCAGGAUAUUAGAAAGUAUCUAAAAAAGAAAUACCUGCAUUACUGAUUCUUUCAAUUAACAUUUAUGCAGUUUCUUCAAUAUGUCAUAUAUUUGAUAGACAUGAGGAAAAUAGAUGCAAUAUGCAGGAAUAUGAGCUUGAAGUUCAAAGGGGAGGCAAAUAAAUGAAUCCUAUAAGGAAAUCUAAAAAUGGUGGGUAAAAAUACCUUUUAAUGUUUUGAAAGCAUAGCUGAUCAGUCCAUAAAGUAAAUGAAGUGAGCAGAGGCUAGGAACAGUGAUAAAGUGUGAAAAAGGAUAAACAAAAGUAACCGGAUCUGACAUUUGCUGGGCAAUUGCUGAUCUUUGUGGCUAGAAGCCUGGUUUAAAGGGGGGGUAACUGCAUAACUUAUUGUUAAAACAAGGGAAUGCUGUUUAGAGCUACACUGGGACAACAGGCCUAAAUCAAAGUCAGGCAAACCAUAUAUAUAACUCAUUCUGUUGAAAAGCUAUGCAUGGAACUUAGAGUCCAACAGCAAGAAAGGCAAUUAAAAGACACAUGUCCAUGAAAAGUGAUAUCCUCAAUGGAUAAACAGUUUAAAAAUCUCCAUAGAAGGAGAUGAUAGAGAUUGUUGCCUGUUUUAUCCUUAGCUUUAGAUGAACUAAGUAAUGUUUCCCUAGAGAAUACCUCAUUUAAAGCCUGUGCUCAUAUUAUUUGGGGGCCUGAAAAUAUAUGUGUCUGGCAGAAAUAGAAAAAAAAUGAAAGUUUUCUAGGCACCUGGCAGAAACAAACAAAUCUGAUCUGAAGGAAUACUCUCAAAUGAGAAUUCAGAAUUCUUUAGGCAAACUCUCAAGAAAAAUGAGUUCUCAAUCAAUAAUCACUAAACACACAGGGGAAUAAGUCACCAUGAGAAAGAGCAGAAACUGCAGGUUAUACAAUUAAAACUCAAAGACUGCAAAUAUUAAAAUCAUCAAGUAUAAAACAUUUUCAUAGUGUAAGAAAAAAAUAUAUUGGAAAUAGGAUGGCGGAACAAGAUAUUCCCGAAGAUGUAUAGACCUAUUUGUAUCAAAUAGUACUUUAUAUAAUUAUUGAAAUUACAAAUUAAAUGAAUAUCUUAAGCACUAAAUUAGACCUAGCUGAAGAAAGAAUUCAUGAAUUGGAAGAGAUAAUAUGACUAAAUUACCCAAAACAGAGCACACAGAGAAAAAGAGAUAGAAGUAUUGAAAGAGGUUAAGAUAAUUAUGAUAUGUCUAAUUAGACUGUCUGAAGGAAAUAGAGAAAAUCGGAAGUGAGGCAUCAUUGGAUGAGACAGUAAAUGGGAAUUUUCCAGAACUGUUAAAAGGUAUCUGUAGCUAUAAGGAAAGUGUUUACCAACCAGCUUAAAUAAAGAGAAAACCAUACUUAGACCUACAGUCAUGAAAUUGCAGUGCCCUAAGGAAAAGUGAUUUUUAAAAUAACCAGAGAGGGAGAAGACAGAUUCUCUACAAAGAAGUUGCAUGUGUAUAAUGAGAGUUCUUAGCAGCAGCAAUGGAAGCCAGAAAAGAGUGAAAAAUAGUAUCUUCAAGUGCUGGGAGGCAAUAAUAACCAAUUAUAUCCCUAGAAAAUUAUCUUUAUUUAAUAAUGAUGAUGAUAUAUAAUUUGUGCAUUUAAAAAGUUAUACCACAGGUAUCUGACAAUAACAUAUGAAAGUCAGGAGGGAAAUAACUGGAAUUAUAGUAUUCUGAGAUCAUUAUUUUGUGGAGGAAGGGGAUGAGAUAUUAAAUUUAGCCACUAAGUUAAGUAUGCAUACUAACAUUUCAAGGUUAAGCUCUGAAAGAACUGAAAAAAAAAUAGGACGUAACUUAUAAAUCCUUGGUGGAUGGGGUAGUGAAUGGAAUAAGAAAAACUAAAAUAUCUCAAUCAUUGUAAAAAGAAUGCAAGAAAAGGGGAAAAAAGUGAAGACAUAGAAAAAGUAGGGAAAUACAGAAAUUAAGAAAUCAAGUGAUAGAAAUAAGUCCAAAUAUAUCAAUAACCAAAUAAACUAAUUUUGGGAUUGAAAAGACAAAUUGUCAAAUUGAAUAGGAACAAUAUCCAACAUAUGUUAUUUACAAGAGACAUACCUAACCCCAUAACUACCUGAAAAGAUUGUAAUAUUAUGGGAAAAGGCUAACAGGCAAAUAACACCCAAAAGAAAACUAGGGUAAAUAUCUUGAUAUCAGACAAAGCAUUGGUAGAUACAAAGAUGGUCACAAUUUAAAAAUAAAAAGUUCAGCAGGAAGAUAAAGAAUUUUUUUUUCUCUUUCAGUAAGAUAAAGAAUUUUAAACUAGUAUACAUCUCAUGCUAUAGCAUGAGAGAAAUUACCAAUCUACUACCAUAGUAGAAUAUUUUAAUGUAUCCUUUUCAAAUACUGAAAGUCAGACCAAAAAAAUAGACUUAAAAAAAUAGGGAAGAUUUGAACUACACAAUUAAAAAGCUUCAUUUAUAAGGUAAGUAAGGAAUCUUGUACCCAAUAAAGAAUAUACAUCCUGAAAACUGAAUAAAAAUGUCAAAAUAAGUUGGAACAAAAGAAGUAUGUAGGGAAAUGUAUAGCCUUAAAUUCUGUAUUGCAAAGAAGCUAGAAAUUAAUAAGCCAAGUUUAUAACUUAAGAUGAUAUAUAAAGAACAUUAGAAUAAGUUCAAAGAAAAUAAAAGACAAGACAUAAUAAGAGCAGAUAUUGAUCAACAAAUUGCUCAACAGUCAAAAGUUGGUUCUUUGAAACGAACCAAUAAAAUAGACAAAGCCAUGGUAGGAUUCAUUGCAUAAAUGCAGAUUCAUUUAUUCAUUCUCUAAAUGUGUUUGAGCCAGGAGCUCUGAGUUCUAGGAAUACAGCAAAGAUUAAAGCAAACAAGUCUCUUACCUUGUGAACUUUUUGAUCCAGUAGAUGAAGUAGAAUUACAGGAGAUACUAAGAGAUGCUAUGAACAAAAUCAUGUUAAUAAAUUUAAAAACUUUUGUGACAUGGACAAAUUCCUAGAAAUGUAUAAUUUGUCAAAACUGACUUAAGGAAAAAAUAUAAAUCCUAGAUUAUCUUCUAGCCUUUAAACCUUCUUUAAAAGUAAACAGCAUCCCAAAUGGUGAGGAGGUAAGUUCUACCAAUUUUUUUUUUAAUGAAAAGAUGUUUCCAAUUUUAAAUAAACUUUUCCAGAGAACAGAAAAAGAGGAACACUUUCUAACCCAUUCACUGAGGUCAGGAUAUCCUUGAUGCCAAAACCAGACAAGGAGUAUAUAAGAAAGGAAAAUUGCAGGCCUUUUUUACUUAAUGAAUAUAUAGAUGCAAAAAUCUUAAGCAAAAUAUUGGCAAAACUAAAUCCAACCAUGUAUAAAAUGGAUAAUAUAUCACUUGCCAACUUGGGUUUAUUCCAGGAAAGACAAAAGUGCUUAACAUUGAAAUAUCCACAAGUGUCAUUCAGCAUGUUAAUAGAGUAAAGGAGGAACACCAUAUAAUUAUGUAAAUAGAUGCAGGAAAGUUACUUGACAAAUAUUCAUUUGUGAUAAAAACUCUCAUACACAGUAUCUACUGGAAACCUACUGAGCUGAACAUUUGCUUAAGGAUGUGCUAAUUAAUUACUAGAAAAGAACAGAGAGCCCAAGAACACCCACACAUUUGUAGAAGUUUGAUAUAUGUCCAGCCAUUGGAAAAAAAUAUAAUUGUCCACAAAUGACACUAAAACCCCUGAUUAUCCAUGUGGGAAAAAUGAAGAUGGAUCCCUACCUCACACCUUGCACAAAAUUAAUUCUAAUGGAUUAGAGACCUGAAAGUGAAAGGCCAAAUUAAACUUAUUUUUUUGAAUUGGAACAUUAGCCUAUAACCUUGGAAUAGGGAAGAAUUUGUUCAACAAGACACAGAAAUCAAAUAUCAUAAAUGAAAGGAUCAAUACAUUCAACCGCACUGAAAUUAAUAACUCCAUCAAAGUGGCAUCAAAAAGAGAAAAAGAAACAAUAGUUUCAACACAUAUAACUGACAAAGGACUAGGAAACAAAAUAACACAAAGAAGUCUUAUUAAGGAAAUUGUGCCAAUGAUAUAAACAACCAUUGCACCAAAUUUUAAAGAAAAUGGCCAAUAAGCACUUGGAAAGAUGUACAACCUCUUUGUUAACCAGGGAAAUGAAAACUAAGGCCGCAAGGGAUUCUACACCCACCAAAUUGCAAGGUGGUACGAUCAAGUCCAUUUGAAAAGUAGAAAGUCUCCCAUGCUAUUGAUAAGAGUAUAAAUGGAUACAACCAAAUUGGAAAAACACUUUGGCAUUAUAUUAUAAAAUUGAAGCAGUACCUAUUUUACAGUCUAGGACCUGGAUAUAACUGGUCAAAAAUUGAGAAGUAGAUGAUUUUCUGGAGAAAACACUCCAGGUUCAGCUGUCAGGGAACAAAUGACAACAAACUGAAGUGAUGCCUAUGUCCACAUAAUAAGUGACGUUUCUUAACCAGGCAGGAGCACAGGACACUUUUAAACUCAAGUAUUAUUUUCAUAUAAAAAAAUAAAAAUAAAUUUCCACAAAAAUCUGUACCACUAAAAAUCUCUGGCAGACCUUAAAAAAGGAAGGAAAUUCUAACAUAUGCUGCAAUGUUGAUAAUUCAUGAAGACAUGCUAAGUGAAAUAACAUAGAAGGACAUGUGUAUGAUUCCAGUGAUAUGAGGUACCUAAAAUAGUCAAAUGCAUAGAGACAGAAAGGAGAACAAUGAUGACUGGGGGCUGGGGGCAACAUGGCAUUUGUAGGUACAGUCUUCAGUACGGAGUGAUGAAAACAUUCUGGUGACGGAUAGUAGUGAGGGCUGCGCGACAACAUGAAUGUACUUAAUAUUGAACUCUCCACUUACAAAUGGUUAAAGAUGAUCAAUUCUAUGUAUAUUUCACCACAACAAAAAAUAACCUGGGGUGUGGAAGACCUUGGCAGGUGUCUUGUGCAAUUGAUUGUUCUUAGCAGGAUUAGUAUGAUUUUUCAUUAAAGAAACCGGACAGGUAUUCAUAAGCCAGUAUGUUUGGCAUGGUAUCUGAGAGCCUCUGAAUUGGCAGCUGCAUAAAGGAAAAAUAAAGAUGGCAUAAAUCAUUUGUGAACUUCAUUUGUGAACUUGCAACCUAGACAUGUUAUAGAUAUAUAGAUUUCCACUUAGAUUAUGGAGGGAGAGAAAAGUGCACGAAUGGUUGUGACUCAAGAGAAAGCCAGUGAGUGAGUGCCCUGUCUGAGGGUCUGGUGUGUCUGCACAUGGCAUCAGGUUCUGGACACCAGCAUUUUAUAGAUGCCAGCAAAGCUGGCUUGGUCUCCAGGUGAAAGUGUGCCUUGCCUGCCCAUCCCAAACAUUACCAUUGCAUUCAUGGUUCAUAUUUAUUGAGUGGCUACUAUAUGCCAGGCACUGUGAUAGGCCCUACUGAUGCUGUGGGGGCAAAAAGAUAAAGCCAUCGGUCAUGUGGAGUUUAUAUGUUGGUAUUAACAGAUGGCCAUGCCACUUCAGCAUUGCUCAGCGGUUACUUGAUUGUUAACACUUUCAACCUGUCAGACAGGAGUUGGUGAGUUCUCUUUGGCAGCCUAUUCUGUAUGUAAGUAGAGGAGUUUCUGUCAAACGGCAAACUCAUAAAGGUAAAGUAAAACCAAGUUUCAUUCAUAAUCUUUUUGGUCAAACCUGAAAAAGAAUCCGGAAGUCAUUUUACUCACUGAUAUCUUACUUACCUAAGAAAAUCUUACACAGAACCCUAAAAUAUAGCCAGUAUAUAAAAGGGGAGGUGUGUAGGUGGGGAGAGGGUUAGGGGAGGAGGAAGAGAGGUUGGCCUUUGAGCCGUAGCAGGGCGGGACGUUGCCAGGAAGCCAAAGGCCUGGCCCAGGAACACAGCGUGUCUGUAGGUCCCUUCAGGCCAGCCUGCACCUCAAAUUCCAGGGAAAGGUGCAUCUUUCUCAUUUUCUAUCCUCAUAUCUUUCUUCUCUUCUUCCUCUUAUUUGCUGGUCAUGUUCCUUCCUGGGGAUUGUACGUAUGUACCCCGAAAUCCGCUCUCCGGACUCCAGAGGGCAGCCAAGCUGUGAAGCCUGCCUGUGGGACACACGGGGACCUGUGCUGGGUUAGCUGGGGCAAAAUGUCAGUUCAAACAAGAAUCCUAAAAAUACAUUAACCUUGCGUUGCCCAUCUGUCAUCCAGGGCCAGGUCUUUCUGCCUGCACACUGUGCUGUGCUAUCUCACAUAAACACUUAUUAUACUUCCUCUUUAGUUCUCAGGAUCUUUCUUUAAAGUGGAACAAGGACUUAAGGACUCCCACAAAGCAAGUGAAGGACAGUCCUAGAUUUUGGCAUUUUCCCCUCUUCCUGGUCCUCUCACCCACACCUAAUCCGACAGCCACUUUGUGUUGGGACUUAUUUAUAGAAUCAUUCCAAAGCAUUGAGCUUGCCUUUCAUGGAAAUAGCAACUCUCUGUCUGCAUUCACCCAAUUCAGAGAAUAUUUAAUGACAUUUCCAAUUACACGUGGUGUAAAAAUACGUUUUGGUAAUAAACACACUUAACUCCUGGUAAGCAUAGAACUUGAUGUAUAGGAGCAGAUCUGCCCCCACAUCCAUGCUAGAGAAGAGGUUACUAGCCUUAGACUAGUUACGAGCCUGGGUGUCAGCGGCGAGCGUUGUGCUAAGUAAAGUUUGGUUAAGAGAACUUCUCUGGGAAGAAAUGGUUUCACUGAGGAAGCAGGAGCAUGGUGGCUUUUGGAGCCAAGCAAUCCAGUGAAUUCUAAUGAAUUCACAGCUCUUACCAGCUGAAGGACUUGAGUAGAUCACUUAACCUCUCCCAGGCUCAGUUACUUCUCCAUCAAACGGAGGCCAUUAUUCUUGGCCCCCUUCUCAGCCAGGCCCCUUGAGGGCUCCGUGGAAAUGCACUUGACUCUACCUCCGUCUUUUGUGUUUCAGAGACCUUCAUUUUUAUCUCUUCAGCCUUAGAGCUUGAUGACUCAGCUGUCCCUGGCUAGAUCUUAAAUAAGAAGGAAAGGACCCCCAAGGAGCAUCUUUUUAUCCCUGCACCAGGAACACAGACUCAGGAGAUGAGCAAAGUGACUGUAUGUUGGUUGAGAGAGAGGAGCGUGGAGGAGAUGCCCAGAAACUGGGUUCUCGUCUAGUCCUUGAGUUUUCAGUGGACUCAGAGCGAAGGAAGCCUGGCUAGGAAGUGGCAAGCGGAAGGGUCCAGGCCUCGGGUCUCUAAGAGUUCCCGGAGCCCCAGGGCGUGAUAUGCCUUGAUUCUGCCCUCAGGAAGGCCACUGUCUAGUGAGAAGUGACCAGUAAGUAAACAAAAUUCCAAGCCAGCAUGCUGAGUACUGUGCUCUAAAGAAGUAACAGGGCCUACAGGAGCAGGAAGACGGACCCCACCUGGUCAGGAACAUGACACUGUCGGCAUCUUAGAGGGGUUUCUGUAGUAAGUCUGAGCUAAACUUGCUAUCCAAACUUGGCGCCCUCUUUGUCUCCUGCCUUCACAUCAUUCCUCAGCCUCCCAGCAACCUUACCACCCCUUUCCCCAGUCCUGUCGAAACCACUGUUCUACCCCUGAAGACUAGGAAGGAGGCACACAGCCACAUGCAACUUAGGAGCAGUGAACCAGGUGCUGGGUAGGCAAGCGACAAGGGACCAUCCGCCCGGAAGGCACCGAUCCCUUUCUGGGAUUGACAGGAAGUACAUCUCAGAAAGUAGCUGCAACCAGGACCUCACAGGAUGCAAUGGAGUUUCCAGGUAGAUUGCAUGGGAAUGGUGUUCUAGGCAUGACAUCUCUUAAUCUUUACAAAAGUCUCACAAGGUGACUAUUACACAGUCUGCUUUAUACAUCAGGAAUUUAAGGAUCGUACAGAUUGUCACUCGCUUGCUCAGAAUCACACAGCUAAAUAUGGCAGAGCUGAGGUUUGAACUCAUGUCUGUCUGACAAUAAGUCCAGAGUGCUUUUCUGCUGACACAGGGCUGAGUUCCCACUGAAUGUAUUUUCCCAGAAAAGCAUUUUACAUGAGUUAACAAUUCUAUAGGAUUAUUCUGUGUGAGCCCCCUUUGGAUUAAACAGGCUUUUGAGGGCUAAUCCUAGAACAGGGACCCUUAAUAUAACAUUGUCUGCUGGAAAGAACAUCUGAAUUUUAAGCAGCAGACUCAGAGGCUGACCUUUUUAACUGCCAUCUAUUCAUAAAUUGGGAACUGAGUACACUUAAAAGAAAAACUCCUAAAGGAGAAGAGAAAACAAGGCAGCCAUAUGGGGAAAUGAUCUAUAAUCCUCAAGGCAAUCUGUAGCAUUUACAUAACAGGAGUAGCACAAAACUCAAGUUUUAAAACACUCUAUAGUACUUAGGUGUCAGUUUUCACAUCUCGUGGGGAAAUGAGGGACCCCACACAUUCGCAUAGCAAGCAUGCCAGAGCUGAGCAGACUACAGUGAGAAGUGAGGCAGGGGAAACCCGAGAAAGGGUAAUAACGAUGAUGAAUGGGAAGGUUGAUUUUCGGGAAUUAGGAUGGAUUGAGGAGCAAAAACCAGUUGCUUUGGGAGAGAAGAUCUAAAAUCUAGAAUUACCACCCCCCAAACAGACCCCUUUCUACUUUGGGCCAUGCCGGUUAAAUGUCAUCGCACGAUCGCAGUCCAUGGACUCUUACGUGUUUUCCUGUCUCUGAGCACUACUCAGGCUAGUGAACUGGAGGUUUAAAUAGGAGGCAGCAGCCCCUGGUCAGUUCUCCUGCCCUUUGGCCCUGUCUCUGCGGCUCAUGCCAUGGAAUCGUUUGCUGACCCAGCGAACACAGCAGAGCACCCGCUGUAGGCCAGGCUGUCCGGCUGACCUCGGGUUCCUUCACCUCUCUCCAGCCAGUGCCCUCACCUGAGAAAAUAGGGAAGCAAUCAACACUGUGCAGAGAAGGUGUAAAGAUUAAAAGGGGUGACACUUACCGCAGUUAGUUACUGGGCUGUGGGACAGGUAAUAAGCCUGGUAUUCUCAUUACUGAUAAUACAUCAGUAUUGUCCCCACUCUCCCGGAGUAGUUUCCAGUGGGCUGGCAGGCACCGCAUCUAAGCAAGGGGUCCUCCUCAUGCCAUCCAGUGCUCUCAUUUCACAGACAGGAAGUAGGGACCCAAGAGGGGAUGCGGCUUCCCUGAGGUUAAGACCUAGAUUGCCGCACAUCACCUUGUGCCCUGAGACUGUGCCGGAGAAGCCGAGGGGAUUUUGGAUCAUAUAAGCUCUAGUCUUUCAUCUUCCCUAAUGCUCACCCGCUCUUUGCUUAUUUGGUAAUUUUCAGAACUUAGUUCCUUCGGGUGAUACGGAUUUAAGUUAUCCAUCACUGGCUUUGUUACAAGUAGAUGGUGAAACGAAGAUGCAGUUAUUCCUGGAAGCAUCAUCAAAAUUCCCAGAGCCGUGUGAUGCCUCUGGAAAGUUUGCCCUACAACAGCACUUUUUGGAGUAUGUCUCCACACAGUUCUAAGAACUGUUAGUAGGAUUUCUUUAAAGUAGAGGAGAGUUGUGGGCGGGGAGUUCUGUGCAUACACCAAAAAGCCUAUCAUGAAAUCCAGCCGCAAAGAAACCUGAUCGAUGUUGUUGACCCCCAGCGCUCCCACACAUAUUCUGUGUCAACACACACAGCAGACCCUUUUGACCAUGAAAUACCUUGUGGGAUACGUUCCUUAGAAGCCCCCUGGAAGAAGCACCUCCUGGAUGUUCUGGGCUCUUUUAAGAAGAAAAGGAUUUUGAGAGAGGGAAACAUCAAGCAGUAUUUGGUCAUUGUGGAUACAGAACCACCGAAGUUUCUAUGUAGAAAUGAGGGUGUUGAUAGGUAAUAACAUCAUUUUUACCCCCAAAUCCCAUACUGAUGGGAAAUGUUUCCAAUAGUUAUUUUUGAAAUGCUCUGUGUAUAUCACAGAUUCUCAAAAUAGGUACUUUCCCAGUCAUCACCUUUGCAUUGAAGGGUCCUGUUAAAGGUGUGUUUUUUUCUCAAAAGUGUGAGAUAGCAUACCGACAACUGGUGAAGUCCUUUGCCGACACAGCCAAGCUCUGUGUGGUCCAAAGAUUUUCAGUCAUUCCUCAUUAGAAAGUGUGGCGAAAGUUCUGUGAUCUGGCCAGUCUUGCCUUUAUAAAAUUAACCAAAUCAGUGACAUCUGAUGGUACUUGUGCACCCUGGCUUCAGUGUUUGGUUGCAAACCUGUCUAUCAGAGAUGCAAUAAAGAAAUUCAGUACAGGUGCUCCUUCUAUAAACAUACUGGGAAUCCUUUUGAUACUCCAAUUAAGGCAACUGCCCCUUCAGCAAUUUCAUAUAGGCACUUUCCAUAAAACAUGAUCAUCAUUAAAGCAGGACUUUCCUGUUCAGACUAUAAAUUCUCCAGGACAUCUUUCCUUCUGUGCUCACUGAAAAGUUGUUCCUUGUGUAUUUCAUUAUCUAAACAGAAUCUUGCAAAUAUAAGCUGACACACAUCAGAAUCCUCUGUGCUUUGAUUUAACUCCAUAGCAAAUCUCUCAUGUAAUUUGUUCCAAUACUAGUUUCUUCAGGCCCUCAGCAUCUGUUUUCUAUGACACGUCCCCCAAUAUUUGCUGACAAAGGAAUUUACUUUGUUUUGGUACCGUAAUAUCUUUUGUGUGUUUCUUCAGCCAUUUUUGCCACAGCAGGAAAAACAAGUGUUUCCCCUUAUUGGAUUUCAGUAUCUUUCAUUUUGAUGUAUGAAACCUCCAAAGAGACCACUAAACUCUUUUCAUGGGAUUUAGUGAAACAUUGUAAAGUUCUAAGCUGACUUUCACAAGACUUAAAACAUCAUCAAAAAUUUUACAGAGGCUGGUUUCCCUAUUCCGGAUGCUUUGUGUUUAAAUGUCUUGCUAAUCAUGCAUCUGUGUACUAACAUUAAGUAAUAUCUCAAGGCAUAAUACACACUUGGGGUGAAGCUCUUCCUUAACAAUGGUGGUUGUAAAUCCAUAUUUGAGAUAGUCUGGAGAAUUUAAAGUUUGGCUUUGUCUUCUCCCAACUUCUCGUCAGAUCUAAUUAGGUAAGCAUUUCUGUACUUGGGAGGGUAGCUAAGGAAGAGGUCCUAUUGGGAGCAGACGCAGUAGCUCGGUGGUUGUCUUGCUGCCUGCAGGAGCUUGUCUUCCUGGUGUUUUCAAUCUGUCGCUGCAUUGUAGGACUCUGAUUUUAAGGCACACUUUUAUUUGGAAGAGUUUUAGACUUACAGAAGUAGUUCUGGGAGUCCCGAAUCCCCUUCAUCCAGUCUCAGUUUCCCCUAAGGCUAACAUUUUGCGUUAACAACCGUGAACUUGUCAAAACUGACCAGCCAACAUCAGUGUGUUACUGUUAACCCAGACUCGAGGCUUCAGGCUCACUGCCUGGUUUUUCCACUAACCUCCUAUGUCCUUAGUCUUGUCUCCCCUGUGACACGUUCUCCAUCUUCCCUUGUUUUCCAUGGCUGACCUCGAUGGUUGUAAGGCGGGCUGGCCCGAUAGUUUAUAAAACAUCCCUCAAAAAUGGUUCAUCCACUAUAUUUUUUCCCGAUUAGACUGAGUUAUGGGUUUUUGGAAAGAAUUAUCACAGAGGGAAAGGGCGCUCCUCAUCCCAUCCUAGCACAAGGGACCUGACUUCCAAACACGACAUCACUAGAGAUGCUGACCAUCCGUCCUCGGUUAAGGCAGUGUGUGCCAGUUUACUUUUUUUUGCUGCCAUACUUCAGUUUUUGGGAGUGAGUUACUAUAUCCACCCCACACUGGAAAGAGGGAGAUUAAAUUCUAUCUCCAAGGGAGAGGGCAGAAUCUACAUAUGACAUCAGGGUUCUACUGUAAGGAGGUUUCUCUUUCCCCCUUCAUAUUUAUUAAAACAUUUCUUUAUAUCCAUGCAGACUCACAUAGAUGUAUUUGAUACCUUGGGUUAUAAUGCAGAACUCUUCUUAAGAUAUUUAUUCAUUUUGUGAGCAUUAUUUUAGUUGUGUGGUAUUGUUAUGAUUAAAUAAUAUUACUGAGUGCACUGAAGAUGGAUAUCAGUAUGGUUGGUAGGACACUUACCCAGGCGCAGGACCCAGAACCUCUCAGUACAUCGGGCUCCAGCCCUGCCCUCUGCACUGGCAGUUAGAUAUGAGGGCUCCAGUGGCCCUGUGGCUUGCUCGCUUCCCUUCUCUGUCUCUCCACUUCUGCUUUUCUGUUACUGCCAGCAGGGUGGCUUCUGGAAGCUUCCCAGCCAAUAUGUGGAGUUUAGUCUUGCAACAGAUCUGUGUCGCUCGCUUGCUAUGAGCCGGCACUGUUUUGAGCACUGGGUACACAGGAGUGAAUGGGAUGGUGUCGGCCAUGCUCUCCAGGAGCAGAUAGUCUAGCAGAAUGUGGAUAUCAAACAAGAAAACAUGGUUGAGUUGGUCAUUUCAUGGGGUAAAACAUGCUGUGAAGUCAAAACAUGCUGUGAAGUCAUGAGCCCAGACCAAAGAGAGAGAGACCCUCUUCCAAUGAGUCUCAGAAAAUGACUGUUGACCCUUUGCAGGACUCAUGCCCACACUUGAACCCAUCCCAGGUCUUAGGAACAGUCACCAAUCACUCACUGGCCAGCCUGAGUCACAUGCCAGUGCUUCUAGCAGGUCAAGCAUGACCUGUAGUCCCUUUAGACUCAUAGGAAGGAGGUAGGGUCUGGUUCUGUGACAGAAUGAAGCAAGACACACAGAAAAGCAAUCAUGGGCCACUCCAAAAGGUGCCCGCUGAGAACCAGCUCCCUUUCCCAGAGUUUCCGAGCAGUGAUUUAUAUGGCAACCACCCCCGAGGGCAUUACUAACAUCCCACCAAACUGGCAGAAGUUCCACCAGACCCCAAACCCAGUGACUCCUCAGCCAGCCUUGGUAGAAUCCCCCAGCUAAGGACCGCAUGCCUGUCUUCUAGAGGCAGAAUCUGUCCCUCUCUCCUUCCUGUCCCCAGGACAGCAGACUCCCUCCUCAGGAGGACACCUCGGGGGUUUCUGUGAAGUCUCAAUAAAGUCUUACUAAGUAAUUCCUAGAGAGAGGGGGAACACAGGGCCGGCGGUCAUCCACAGGUCUUACGUGGGUUGUCUGUAGAGAAGCCACAUGAAGGCAACAUUCAUUGAAGAUUCUUGUCCUAUUUGCAUCGGUUUUCCAUUCCUGCUAUCCAUGGUGCAUCAGGAAUUCUUCACACAUUCCAAAAUCCAGUUCCAUCAGUUGUUACCCCAUCGUAUAGAAGAAAAAAAAAUCAUUGGCCAUGAUGCACAUCAGAGAAUACACUAGAUCUUCUCGUGGAUGCAUGACCCUCCCAGCCCUCAAUGUUACCAAAGGUCUCCAUUUUCCUGUUGUCAUUUUUCUCUCUCCCUAGCCUCUACCUCCUCCUCAGCAGGGAAAAAUAAGUAAUGUUACAGAGGACAGAGCAAGAAAGGAUAGGGGAUAGGACAGGGCCUCGGAUUCAGGUACUGGCCUAAGUGUCUACAUUUUCCAGAUGAGGGGACUAAAUAAUCACUGAGUUUGAUCUGUUCUCUUCAUCUUUCCAAGGUAAUGAUGCAUUUUUGUCUGGGAAGAAUUUUUUUUUUUUCUGGAACAUGUAAAAACCAAGAAGCAACAGGAACCUAUGUAAAAGGAGGCAAAAAGUCACAGAGCAUUUGUGCCUCGACCUGUGGGUGUCAAGGACACUCUUCUUAUUUAAUAGCCACUAACCUGGUAAUUGUCAGGAAUGGGAAGAGGGAAGAGAGAGGGAAUAGCAUCUUCAGCCAUUGGUGGGGGGCGUAAAACCUGGAGUGGAUUCCAUGGCAGCAGGCAAACCCUAACCAUGCCUGUCAUGGGCAUGCAAAGUUAGACAGAACGGAGUAUAUGUGUUCCGGAGACCCUCGGGGAUGGAGCCCCAUUACCUGUGCUCCAGGCUCCAUGGUGGACACCUUUGAAUCUCUUGUCCACUUAAUCCUCUGAAGCAGGUGUUAUUAUUUCCUUUUAACAGAUGGAAAAAUAGAGUGUCAAAGACCUUCAGGUGUUUGGGUGACAGAGUUGGGAAGAAGAGGGGGUAAAAUGGGCCUCACUCCCCUGCUGGUUAGCAUUCUCUGAGCUCGGCCCAGUAUGUGAAACCCACCGUAAAGAGGCCUUCCUGAAUAGCCCCCCUUCACUCACCUCCUUGAGGUCUAGCCAGAGGAGACGGCUCCUGGCAUAGCUCCUUCUCUGGGCUGUAUUUUCUGUACCCAACCUGCCUACAGACACCCCCGCCAACCCAUUUUAAAUCUUUUUUCUUAUUCCUCCUUCCCACAUAAAGACCCUGUGGGUCAUCCAGUCUUCUUAGUUGGUAAGGUGGCUGUCUUGAAGUUAAAACAUAGGUUUCUUCAGUAACUUAAUGAGCACAUGCUUUGCACCUUCAUGUCCAUCAGUCCAUCCAUCUUGGUCAUGACCACAGACUGCAGGGGGCACUGUCCCCACCCUGCUAGGCAACUUAGUGGAGGCCACUGAGCUGGUGAGAGCUAGAGCUGGACCGCUGUGUCCAUCUGCUUGUCAGUUCCCACCAUGCAUCACAAUCCUCACCAUGACAAGGAAAGGGAUUUGUGACACUGUUGUCCUUUUGAAAUACCCAACAAGGAAAGAACAGAGGAAUCUAAAACUCCUUCAAGAGAAAAUGACAAGCUGUUUGGCCCUUAGACAAAGCAAAGGGGAAAUACAUGACUCCAUCCUAAAGCCCAUAUUAAUAGGGCUUUUAUAAACAAUUUGCUGUAGACAGAAUGGGAGGAUUAUUGAGAAUGGCAUCAUCGUGGUUUCCAUUCUUGAACCACAGGGCAGCUGUUGAACACUAACUGCCUGCCUGGCACUGUGGCACUCCAAAAGAAGAGUAAGUCAUGCUCCCAGGCAGCCCAGAAAUUCACAUUCCAGUGCUGCCAGGUGUAAUUAUUUAUGUGAGUAAAUAAUUACAAGAGUAUGCGAUGAGUUCUCCAAGAGAGAUGAGUGCAAGAGUCUAUGGAGCACUGUGGAAGGACCAGUAACUGCCUUGGGAAUGCUUACAAAAGGAAUCAGAAAAACCAAUUUUCAGAGGCUUAAAAUAAAAUAGGGGAUUUGAAUUUCUAAGCUAAGAAUUGUGGAGUAGGUAGCAGUAGAUGUUGGUCUCAGAGAGCAGUGUGUUGACCCCUCCCUCAGAGUCACAGGGUGGCUGUCACGGUUCCAGUCAUGCUUCUCUGUACACAGCAGUGGGGUGGGAGGAGGGCUGCACUUUAUCUGAACCUUAUGAUUAGGACAUCAGAUAUAUGCUUCCCCGUGUAUCUUUUUGGGGCAGUCCUAGGUCACAUGGCCACCCCCAAGUUGCAAAGUUGUCUGAGAAAUCGGAGAAGGGAUCACCAUGAUUAGCUUAGAUUUUAAAGGGCUCGUCCAUGCUCAGGAUUGCAGCUACACACAAAGUUGGUGUUCUGUUAGGAAUGAAGGUUGCAAUGGAGAGACAUAUAGGAGGCAACCUUCUGCCACAUGUGGUUGGGGAAAGAUUCAUUGAAGAGAGGUGCAUUUGAGAUCCGCCAUGAAGAACAAGCAGGCAGUCACAUGAUAGAGAAGAAAUUGGGGCAUAGGCCUAGGGAGGGAGGAAAAGCAUAUGCAGAAGCACCAAGUUGUGAAAGACAAGUUCAGGAAAUAUCAGGGAAUUCUUUCAGCCUGGAGAUAGAGCUGGAAUUUUAAGUGGGAACCAGUUCUCGAGAGGCUUAACUGCCAGGCGAGGAGAUAGAUGUCAUUCUGUGGGCCAUAGAAAAUCAGUAGAGGUCUUCAGACAGAGACCAAUUUUCCAAACACCCUUUUAUCCCAGUAACUUGGAAGAUGUAAGGCCCAUGUUCUUAUUCACCUGGCAUUUGCAUACAGCCUCUGAUUCUUAGCAUUUUUGCAGCAUGAAUUAUUUUUAUGAAUCCCCUGGGUUCUAAGUACUUCAGAAGCCAGAGUUUUGGCUGAACUCUUUCCCCAGCCUUGUCCUUGUACUGAGGUCUUGUUUCUGCCUUUGAAACGUUUUUCCCUGUGUCCUUGAUGGGUGAUAGAGUUUCUUUUUUUUUCCUUUAAUCACAUUGACUUCUGCUGUCUUCCCAGAUGAUGUUUAAGUUUCCUGGACAGUAAUCAAUUUCUGUCAAUUUCUCUGUCUCACUGCAGGCUGACUCCUAGUCUGCACAUGUACUCAACCUUUACAGACAUUUCAGAUCCAAUCAGAUCACACCCAUGGGGUCCCUAAUGCCUGGCAGCUUCUGCAGCCCACCUGGCAUGCAACCUGGAUACCUCCCUCUCUGCUUCCUGCCACGCUAGAGAUUCAGCGCAUGUAUCUGGGAUGCCCACCCUGCAGCCUUAGUUAUUACAGGAAUGGGUGGGGUCCCUGUAGUUGGGAUGGAAAGGUAGGUUUUAUUUCUGAUCCUGUAAUUUUUCUAUAAAUUUCACAUUCAUUUCUGUAAACAGAGUCAUUUAAUGAUUACAGAUAUGGGAGAAAUAAGGGAGAUAGUCUUAAUGUCUGUCUCAUUGGGUUCGAAUCCUGACUGUCCUGCUUUCUAGCUGUGUAACUUCAAUUUGCUGAACUUUCCUCACCUGUAAGCGGGGAUAAUGAGAAUCACUUAUCGUGCUGAAUAAAGAGUAAAUGAGCUAU